rnacentral:rRNA from 1 species
UACGUAGGGGGCAAGCGUUGUCCGGAUUUAUUGGGCGUAAAGAGCGUGUAGGCGGCUAGGUAGGUCCGUUGUGAAAACUCGAGGCUCAACCUCGAGACGCCGGUGGAAACCAUCUAGCUAGAGUCCGGAAGAGGAGAGUGGAAUUCCUGGUGUAGCGGUGAAAUGCGUAGAUAUCUGGAGGAACACCGGUGGCGAAGGCGGCAUCCUGGACCGACAUUGACGCUGAGGCGCGAAAGCCAGGGGAGCAAACGGG